AAGAGAAAACUAUUUUCAAUAACUUCCAAAUUCCUUCUGGUGGAAAUUGAAAAAGCGACUGAGUUAUUGCAAUAGAAAACAAACAAUUUCUCUCUUGAAAUGCGUUUUUAACAGUUAGCUAACUCAUAUAAAGUUUAAACCAAUCGAAUUUCUGGUACUUCACUAGUAUAAGACGAAUAAAGAGGUUAAACCGCACUGAACGACAAAUCUUUUAUCCAAAAAAGAGUUGAAGAACAAAAUUGUAAUGGAUUCUAAAAGCUCGACUUUACUACUAAUAUUUGGUUUUAUUACAUUGGCUUGUACAAGACCUCAUCCGCACUACGAUUUACAAUGUUUGAGCAUAUGUGAAGGUCAAUUCGAACAGUGCGUGCAAGUCGUUGACAAACUUCAGGAAACUUACUUUAUUUGUAUUGUUCAACGUUCUACUUGCGCAAAAGAGUGCGAAUCCAACUUAAAUAAAUAUAAAAACGACGUUUUUUAAAUUUUUUAAAUUGUAAGACUUGAAUACUGUGAAUUAAA
rnacentral:lncRNA from 1 species